GGUUAAGCGACUAAGCGUACACGGUGGAUGCCCUGGCAGUCAGAGGCGAUGAAGGGCGUGCUAAUCUGCGAUAAGCGCCGGUAAGGUGAUAUGAACCGUUAUAACCGGCGAUACCCGAAUGGGGAAACCCAGUGUGACUCGUCACACUAUCAUUAACUGAAUCCAUAGGUUAAUGAGGCGAACCGGGGGAACUGAAACAUCUAAGUACCCCGAGGAAAAGAAAUCAACCGAGAUUCCCCCAGUAGCGGCGAGCGAACGGGGAGGAGCCCAGAGCCUGAAUCAGCAUGUGUGUUAGUGGAAGCGUCUGGAAAGGCGCGCGAUACAGGGUGACAGCCCCGUACACAAAAGCGCAUGUGCUGUGAGCUCGAUGAGUAGGGCGGGACACGUGGUAUCCUGUCUGAAUAUGGGGGGACCAUCCUCCAAGGCUAAAUACUCCUGACUGACCGAUAGUGAACCAGUACCGUGAGGGAAAGGCGAAAAGAACCCCGGCGAGGGGAGUGAAAAAGAACCUGAAACCGUGUACGUACAAGCAGUGGGAGCCCCACCACCAAAGCAUUCUCUGGUGUUGAAGGCCCUGCAAAGCAGCAUCGCGGUGGCGGAGCGUCGUUUGCGACGCCCAACACACAAAACAAGCGGUGAGUGCUUUGGGGUGGGGUGACUGCGUACCUUUUGUAUAAUGGGUCAGCGACUUAUAUUCUGUAGCAAGGUUAACCGUAUAGGGGAGCCGUAGGGAAACCGAGUCUUAACCGGGCGUUAAGUUGCAGGGUAUAGACCCGAAACCCGGUGAUCUAGCCAUGGGCAGGUUGAAGGUUGG
rnacentral:rRNA from 1 species